rnacentral:rRNA from 1 species
GACGAACGCUGGCGGCGUGCUUAACACAUGCAAGUCGAACGGAAAGGCCCCUUUUGGGGUCCUCGAGUGGCGUACGGGUGAGUAACACGUGCGUAACCUGCCCUUGACUUCGGGAUAACUUUAGGAAACUGGGGCUAAUUCCGGAUAGGAAUCCUUGCUGCCUGGUGGGGGUUGGCAAGCUUCGGCGGUUUUGGAUGGACUCGCGGCCGAUCAGCUUGUUGGUGGGGUAGUGGUUUACCAAGGCUUUGCCGGGGAGCCGGCCUGAGAGGGCGACCGGCCACAUUGGGACUGGGAUUCGGCCCAGACCCCUACGGGUGGGAGCAGUGGGGAAUAUGGCACAAGGGGCGGGAGCCUGAGGCAGCAACGCCGCGGGCGGGAUGACGGCGUUCGGGUUGGAAACCGCAUUCAGCAGUGGCGAAGCUUGUGGUGACGGUACCGGCAGAAGAAGCACCGGCUAACUACGUG